UACGUAGGGUGCGAGCGUUAAUCGGAAUUACUGGGCGUAAAGCGUGCGCAGGCGGCUUCGCAAGUCAGACGUGAAAUCCCCGGGCUUAACCUGGGAAUGGCGUUUGAAACUACGGAGCUGGAGUGUGGCAGAGGGAGGUAGAAUUCCACGUGCAGCGGUGAAAUGCGUAGAUAUGUGGAGGAAUACCGAUGGCGAAGGCAGCCUCCUGGGCCAACACUGACGCUCAUGCACGAAAGCGUGGGGAGCAAACAGG
rnacentral:rRNA from 1 species